UAGCAAUAGCUAAUUGCAAAUAUCGACUCUGUCGAAUAAAGUUCUAGGUAUAAUUAUGAUAAUGACAUUGUCUGCCUAUGUGUCUUGACCAAAUUACGUGCCAGCAGUCGCGGUAAUACGUAGAAGACUAGUGUUAUUCAUCUUUAAUAGGUUUAAAGGGUACCUAGACGGUAAAUAAAGCACUGAUUUGCUAGAGUUACUUGUGAGGGGGUAUUAAAGUACUGCUGGUGUAGAGAUGAAAUUCUGUGAUACCUCUUUUCGAUGGCACAGGUAUAGGCGAAAGCAUCCCCUUAUGAGAUAGCUUUGUAUGCGAACAGGAUUAGAUACCCCAGUAUCAAAGCAGAAAAUGAUGAAUGUCAUAGAUUAGUUUAUUCUAUAAAUGAAAGUGUAAGCAUUCCACCUCAAGAGUAAUUUGGCAACAUUGGAACUGAAAUCAUUAGACCGUUUCUGAAACCAGUAGUGAAGUAUGUUGUUUAAUUUGAUAAUCCGCAAAAAACCUUACCAUGAAUAUUUA
rnacentral:rRNA from 1 species